AUCUUUUUAUUUAGUAUUAUAUAGAAAUAUUUAUUUUUGUUAUAGUAAAAUAGUACUGUUAAGGAAUAGAUGAAAUAAUUUAAAAUCAAAUUUUUAUUAAGUAUACUUAAUUUGUAGUACCUUUUGUAUCAGGGUUAAUCAAAUAUAUUAAAUUAUGUUUAUUUCUCGAUUCYAAAAGAGCUAAUUUAUUAUUUUAGUUAAUGUUGCAUAAUUAUUAACAAUAUAUUUUAGGGGAGAAAUUUUAUUCGUUUUUGGAGGUAUCUAGUUUUUUAAGAAAUAAAUUUAAUUUAGCUUUAUUACUUAACUAUUAUAUUAUAUUUUAAGUUAUUUAAUAAUAGAAAAAUUAUAGGGGACAAGCUCUAUAUUUAUCUAAAAGGUUUUUAUUAAUAAAUUUUAGUAGGUUUAAAAUUAUCCAUCUUUAGUAAGUGUGUUAUAAUUUAUAUUUAAAAUUAAUUAAUUUUAUUGUUUUUAGUAUAUUAUUAAAAUACCAUAAUUAAUUUUUUAUUUUGGGAAAUAAUGAUUAAAUUAGUAUAAAUAUAUGUUUAUAUUUUUAUUAUAUUAAUGAUAAAAUAAGGAAUUCGGCAAAUAUAAYYSMCGCCCUGUUUAWCAAAAACAUGUCCUUUCGAAUUUAAUUUAAGGUCUGACCUGCCCAGUGAUAAGUUUAACGGCCGCGGUAUACUGACCGUGCAAAGGUAGCAUAAUCAUUAGUCUUUUAAUAGAGGGCUGGAAUGAAUGGUUUAACGAGGAAUUGACUGUCUCAUUUUAUUUGUUUUAAAAUUUAAUUUUUUAGUUAAAAAGCUAAAAUUUUGUUGGAAGACGAGAAGACCCUAUAGAUCUUUAUAUGAUUUAUUUAAUUAUUUUUAUAUUAAUAUAUUUAUGAUAAUAUCUUAUUUUGUUGGGGUGACAAAAAUAUAUAAAUAACUUUUUUAUUUAUUAAACAUUGAUAUAUGAUUAUUAGAUCCUUUAUUAAGGAUUAUUAGAACAAGUUACCUUAGGGAUAACAGCGUAAUCCUCCUCCAGAGUUCAUAUUUACAGGAUGGGCUUGCGACCUCGAUGUUGGAUUAAGAUUAUAACUAGGUGUAGCCGCUUAGUUUAUAGGUCUGUUCGACCUUUAAAU
rnacentral:rRNA from 1 species